GCCACGGCUAACUACGUGCCAGCAGCCGCGGUAAUACGUAGGUGGCGAGCGUUGUCCGGAUUUACUGGGCGUAAAGAGCGCGCAGGCGGUCGUGCAAGUCGCGUGUGAAAGCCCCCGGCUCAACUGGGGAGGGUCACGCGAUACUGCUCGACUCGAAGGCAGGAGAGGGAAGCGGAAUUCCCGGUGUAGUGGUGAAAUGCGUAGAUAUCGGGAGGAACACCAGUGGCGAAGGCGGCUUCCUGGCCUGUUCUUGACGCUGAGGCGCGAAAGCUAGGGUAGCAAACGGGAUUAGAUACCCCGGUAGUCCUAGCCGUAAACGAUGGACACUAGGUGUUGGUGGUAUCAACCCCGCCAGUGCCGAAGCUAACGCAUUAAGUGUCCCGCCUGGGGAGUACGGCCGCA
rnacentral:rRNA from 1 species